rnacentral:rRNA from 1 species
CCCUUAGAUGUUCUGGGCAGCACGCGCGCUACACUGAUGCAUUCAACGAGUCUAAAACCUGCUCUGAUAGGGGUGGGUAAUCUUUUGAAUGUGCAUCGUGAUUGGGAUAGAUGAUUGCAAUUUUUCAUCUUCAACGAGGAAUGCCUAGUAAACGCAAGUCAUCAGCUUGCAUUGAUUACGUCCCUGCCCUUUGUACACACCGCCCGUCGCUCCUACCGAUUGAAUGAUCCGAUGAAUAUCAUGGAUUGAGGAUGCAAGUAGGUUCACCUAUCUUCAUCUUCGAGAAGUGAAGUAAAUCUUAUCAUUUAGAGGAAGGAGAAGUCGUAACA